CAGACGAGGAGCUUGCUCCUCUGACGUUAGCGGCGGACGGGUGAGUAACACGUGGAUAACCUACCUAUAAGACUGGGAUAACUUCGGGAAACCGGAGCUAAUACCGGAUAAUAUAUUGAACCGCAUGGUUCAAUAGUGAAAGACGGUUUUGCUGUCACUUAUAGAUGGAUCCGCGCCGCAUUAGCUAGUUGGUAAGGUAACGGCUUACCAAGGCAACGAUGCGUAGCCGACCUGAGAGGGUGAUCGGCCACACUGGAACUGAGACACGGUCCAGACUCCUACGGGAGGCAGCAGUAGGGAAUCUGUCAGCAAUGGGCGAAAGCCUGACGGAGCAACGCCGCGUGAGUGAUGAAGGUCUUCGGAUCGUAAAACUCUGUUAUUAGGGAA
rnacentral:rRNA from 1 species